GUCGUGGUGGCCGAGUGGUUAAGGCGUUAGAUUUAAAAUCUUAUGGGAUAUUCCCUCGCAGGUUCGAAUCCUGUCCACGGCG
rnacentral:tRNA from 1 species